rnacentral:rRNA from 1 species
GAUGAACGCUGGCGGCGUGCCUAACACAUGCAAGUCGAGCGAAGCAUUUUAAAGGAAGUUUUCGGAUGGAAUUUGAAAUGACUGAGCGGCGGACGGGUGAGUAACGCGUGGGUAACCUGCCUCAUACAGGGGGAUAACAGUUAGAAAUGACUGCUAAUACCGCAUAAGCACACAGUACCGCAUGGUACAGAGUGAAAAACUCCGGUGGUAUGAGAUGGACCCGCGUCUGAUUAGCUGGUUGGCGGGGUAACGGCCCACCAAGGCGACGAUCAGUAGCCGACCUGAGAGGGUGACCGGCCACAUUGGGACUGAGACACGGCCCAA